rnacentral:rRNA from 1 species
CAGUCGCCGCGUAAUACGUAGGUGGCAAGCGUUGUCCGGAAUUAUUGGGCGUAAAGGGCUCGCAGGCGGUUUCUUAAGUCUGAUGUGAAAGCCCCCAGCUCAACCGGGGAGGGUCAUUGGAAACUGAGAAACUUGAGUGCAGAAGAGGAGAGUGGAAUUCCACGUGUAGCGGUGAAAUGCGUAGAGAUGUGGAGGAACACCAGUGGCGAAGGCGACUCUCUGGUCUGUAACUGACGCUGAGGAGCAAAAGCGUGGGGAGCGAACAGGAUUAGAUACCCCAGUAGUCCCUGUCUCUUAUACA